AUAACGGUCCUAAGGUAGCGAAAUUCCUUGUCGGGUAAGUUCCGACCUGCACGAAAGGCGCAACGACUUGGGCGCUGUCUCGACCAUGGACCCGGUGAAAUUGCACUGGUCGUGAAGAUGCGACUUACCCGCGGAAGGACGGAAAGACCCCGUGAACCUUCACUGCAGCUUGGCAUUGGCCGCUGGUCCCGCGUGUAGAGGAUAGGCAGGAGGCACAGAUCCGGAGGCGCCAGCCCCCGGGGAGCCGCCCUUGGAAUACUGCCCUCGCGCGACCGGCGUCCUAACCCGAGGCCGUCAACCGGCUCGGGGACCGUGCCAGGCGGGCAGUUUGACUGGGGCGGUCGCCUCCUAAAGGGUAACGGAGGCGCGCGAAGGUCCGCUCGGGACGGUCGGCAACCGUCCUUUUGAAUGCAAGAGUACAAGCGGGCUUGACUGCGAGGCCCACAAGCCGAGCAGGUGCGAAAGCAGGCUCUAGUGAUCCGGCGGCCCCGAGUGGGUGGGCCGUCGCUCAACGGAUAAAAGGUACUCCGGGGAUAACAGGCUGAUCUUGCCCAAGAGUCCACAUCGACGGCAAGGUUUGGCACCUCGAUGUCGGCUCAUCGCAUCCUGGGGCUGGAGCAGGUCCCAAGGGUACGGCUGUUCGCCGUUUAAAGCGGUACGCGAGCUGGGUUCAGAACGUCGUGAGACAGUUCGGUCCCUAUCCUCCGUGGGCGCAGGAGAAUCGAUGGAGGCUGCCCCCAGUACGAGAGGACCGGGGUGGACGCACCUCCGGUGAACCGGUUGUCGACCAACGGCACGGCCGGGUAGCCGCGUGCGGCGCGGAUAACCGCUGAAGGCAUCUAAGCGGGAAGCCGUUCCAGGGAUUAGUUCUCCUUCCGGUAAGGGCCCAGGUAGACUACCUGGUCGAUAGACGGCAGGUGCAAGGACGGCGACGUCCUCAGCCGAGCCGCACUAAUCGCCCGAGCUCUUCCGGAA
rnacentral:rRNA from 1 species